UGGGCGGGGAGGGAGGGGCCAGGAAGCGGCGAGUGCGCCGGGGAGCGCAGCUGCGGCCGUGGGGGUGGUAGGAGCCGCGGAGCCGGCGCUGAGAGCGGCUGCGGCCGGAGCAGGCGGCCGAGACAAAGACGACGAUAAGGGCCAGUUGUGAGUCUGUGGAUUUUUGAGUGAAACCUCAACCCAAGUGAGAAGACACCUUCAAGGAACAACUACUGACAGUGAGUCUGCAGUCAUCUCUAUGCAUAAUGUGGAAUGUUUCCAACCCAGAGACAGCUGAGUGGGUGACUAUUGAUAAGGAGUGACCUGAAUCAAGACAACAUUUAUACCUUCCUGGUGGUUCAGAAACGAGUCUCUGUAGAACCAUAAGCAAAAAAAGGAAACAUUUUGGCUUUUUCUUAAUUAAAUUGACUGUAUAAGAUACUUGACUUCAGGAGCAAAAACACAGAGAAGUGAUAAAAUUAUUCUUUUGACAUCAUUGGACAUCGAUCAUACUGAGGAGCGUGCUUUCUGAAGCUUCCUGAGUGGAGAUUUGGAAACUUCCUUGGUGCUCGUUUUUACUUUGGACUGUAAGCAUGAGUGAAUUCUGGUUGUGUUUCAACUGCUGUAUUGCAGAACAGCCUCAGCCUAAGCGGCGGCGUCGGAUUGACCGAAGUAUGAUCGGAGAGCCAACCAACUUUGUACACACAGCUCACGUUGGAUCAGGAGACCUGUUCAGUGGGAUGAAUUCAGUCAGCUCCAUUCAGAACCAGAUGCAGUCCAAGGGGGGCUACGGGGGCGGCAUGGCUGCCGGCGUGCAGAUGCAGCUGGUGGACACGAAGGCGGGAUAGCCCCCUCCAGUCAUUGUGAAUUUGUUUCCUUUUUCCAUUUUUUUUAAUUCUUUUUUUGUCGUGAUUGCUUUUCUUUUCAAAUACAAAAGAAGUGUGAUGGUGUCGUGCCCCUCCCGUUGUGAUUCCUCCAGCGAGACGUCACGGCUCCGCCGGAGCGGCCACCGCCAGUGUCCCCCGCCUCCCCCUCGGUGGCCGCGCGCCCAUGGACUCAUGGAUACAGUUCUUUACAUCAUGGCUUCAAUUUUUAUCAACAUGGGUCUGACCUUAGCAUGAUCUUUGUGUGAAUGCUAGCACUAUUCUGCAUUUUUUUUUUCAUUUUAAAUAUCUCUUUCCACCUGCCUUAUGAUUUUAUGGGUAAGCAAGGACCUGCUAUUAGCUGUAAUUUGUCACCUUUAUGUAUAUUUUGGACGGUAUGAGACCCACAAGCACAGGGGUCAUUUUUGUUCAUCUGGAACUCCGGCAGAGCUGACGUCUGCAUGCUUUCGGAGGUGGCCGAGUGCGGGAGCCCCCGGGGUGGGGAUGCUGCGUAGACGCAGGUGAGCCAGGUCACGCCCAUGCACACAAAAAGGUCACGUGCAGCUUGUUAGAAAGGACUUUUUGAUUUAGUUAGAAUUAUAGUAAAGGGGGAGCUUGCAUUCAUAAGGCCUGCCUUCUGUUGUAAAUGUUCACUCUAUUUAUUUUGCGGGCGAGGACCCGGGGCGGCCGGAUACCCGCCCCCAUCCAUCCCGAGCAGCUCUGGACGGUCUGUCUCCCUGUGCGCUCAGUCUGUUCCCACGUGUCUCAAGUGUAUGUUAGUGUCAUGGUACCUGGUAGCAGUUUAUUGGCCUUCCCACACUCCACAUAUUUGGGGCACUGGGGGCAGCACAGUGCAGCCCACUGACCUGAGUCGUUGUCCCUGAGAACUGUCUCUCUGGUGACUGUGGAAUAGGUGAGAAAAACCUUUGCUUCAGUUCCAAAAUUGGUUUAUUCUUCCACCAGUUAGUGGUUUGCAUUCUUGUUAAAAUGUAAAUCCUGUGUCCACGUCAGCCCCAGUUGACUUCCGUGUGGUCA